rnacentral:rRNA from 1 species
GAUGAACGCUAGCUACAGGCUUAACACAUGCAAGUCGCGGGGCAUCAUGGAGGUUGCUUGCAAUUUCUGAUGGCGACCGGCGCACGGGUGAGUAACGCGUAUCCAACCUUCCCAUUACUACGGCAUACCCCGUUGAAAGGCGGCCUAAUUCCGUAUGCAGUCCGAAGCAGUCAUCUAAUUUGGACGAAAGGUAUAUUCUAUCGGUAAUGGAUGGGGAUGCGUCCGAUUAGCCAGCCGGCGGGGUAACGGCCCACCGGGGCAUUGAUCGGUAGGGGUUCUGAGAGGAAGGUCCCCCACACUGGAACUGAGACACGGUCCAGACUCCUACGGGAGGCAGCAGUGAGGAAUAUUGGUCAAUGGGCGUAAGCCUGAACCAGCCAAGUAGCGUGCAGGAUGACGGCCCUAUGGGUUGCAAACUGCUUUUAUGCGGGGAUAAAGUUGGGGACGUGUCCCUUUUU